CUAGAAUGUGAUGUGUCUGUCCCUGCAGCUGGACCAUAUGGGUACAGGAACCAAGCGAUGGGAGCAGACGUGGCCCCCACCAUGCCUCCAAUGACCCCACCACCCGUCCCUGCAGCUCCCGGGUCAGCCCCACAGGAUGAGUACUUCUGCCACGGACACAGCCGCAGUCUCACUGAGCUGAAGGCCACGGCUGCUCCCAGGGCACCCCGGCUCCUUGUGUCCAGGACCAAGGGGCCGGGAGUGACCCGACCACCAGGAGAAGGCAGGGUCUGGGUGGGGUGGAGGCAGGGGUGUGGCCAUUCCUGUAGCUAAUGGACACGUGUAGCCACAAGGGACCUCAGGGGCAAGGGUUUGCACACCCCAGGUGAGCACCAGGCCCGGCCGACGUGCGGUAGGGGUGGGGCGGGGGGAAGGAGGAGCGGAGCCUCAGAGACGAGGCCCAUGCCACAGCUCUGGCUGGGGCCCCACCUGUUCACUGUCCCCUGUGCGUCUCCCCAGGAAGAGAAGCCCACGGGUGCCCUGCAAGCAGGGUUCCAGGGCCUGGUGUGAUGACGGUGAGUGCACAGUUGCCUCGACCUCCUUCCAGCUGCGAGCGGGGCUGCACCAGAGGCUGGCUCUCUCCUGUUUUGUGUCCUGCACUCAACAGGGGCCACCCCGAGUCCACUCCUCAAUAUGCUUGCCAUCAGACCCUGCUUCUGGGGCCCGGCCUGGACACAUGCCUGGCUGCUGGGUGGGAUACUCCCUUCGCACAGGGUGCCCUGUGCCAGGACUGCCUUCAGCGGGUCUGUGAGCCCGGGACAGGCCUGCCCGUCUCGGCAGGAACGCCAGGUGACACGGCUCCUGGGGCAGUUAGAUAGCUAGAAGAGCGUGACUUUCCCUUGGCAAUGGACAAAGGUGGGGAGAGGAGAGGGACCUCAUUACCCAGCAAAGAGAAGGAGGGACAUUCGGGGCCACGGCGGGUGGCCCUUGGCCUGGACAUAGACAGCCGGACCAGAGCCCUGAUGGGGCUGUGCUGGGUGGGGAAGGGCAGCGCCCAGACAGGAAAACCAGAGCAGUCACCAGCUUGGGGAGCAGGAGGUUCCAGUUCCCCGCACAAAGGGGAUUCAUGGGGAAGGGUGCCUGGGGGGCUCCGUCGGUUAAGCGCCCAACUUCAGCUCAUGAUCAGGUCACGAUCUCAAGUUUCAUGGGUUUGAGCCCCACGUCGGGCUCUGUGCUGACAGCUGGAGCCUGGAGCCUGCUUCAGAUUCUGUGUCUCCUUUCUGACCCUCCCCUGCUCUCUCUCGUGCUCUCGCUCUCUCGCUCUCAAAAAUAAACAUUAAAAAAUUAAAAAAACAAACAAAGGGGAUUCAUGGUGGGAGGGGGGACCCAGGAGCCUGACGGAGUACUCGAGCAGGAAGUGGGGGCCUAAGGCCAGGACAGGCCCUGUGCCCUUGGCAGUUGGGCCACGCCCCCUAUUUGGUUGGCAGUGACCUUGGGCCAGGUAGGAGCCUCUUUGGACUCUGCCCAGGUGAGACAGGAGCAGGGUUGUGGAGUGGAGACCUUGGGAAGGCAGCUGGACAGAGGGGUCUGGAGCUCGGGAGAGAAGACCAUGGUAUGUGACUGGUGUCCAGGGCCCAGGGAGUGGGGGAGGGGGCGGCUUCAAGGGCAGGACACCCUGGCCAGCCCAAUGUCCCACAGAGGUGGCCAGCAGCAGAAGGUGGGCAUGGUGUGUGACCGGAGGGGUAAGGGCCUUGGGGCUGAGCAGAUUUUCCAGGAAGCAAAAGGGAAUCUGAGAGGGAAGAGGGCUCUUCCUGCGGCUUCCCUGGGGGAGGGGAGGGUGGGGGGGCAGCGCCAGGUGACAAGGGGAGGGAGGACAAUCCUGAGGAGGGUGGGUCUGCAUUCCUUGGCUGUGGGCCACCUUCUGCCUCUGCCCUGAAGGACAUCCCCCCUCUCCAGCCCGGGCCCGGAGGAGGGCAGAGGGCUGGCUGUCCACCUGAGCCAGAUAAGGACAGAACUAGGUUGCAGGCUGCCUCAGGCCCACACAGGGAGGCGGCAAUCUUGGCUCUGCCCCAUCGGGCAGCUGCGGAAGGAUCCCACUCACCUCCUCGGCACAGAGGCCAGCGGCAGGAGGAGCUUGGUAAGACAGGUGUAAUCAGUUAAGAUGGGGCCUCCUGAAGUCCCGACUGCCGUCCUCACGAAAGGGGGAUUUUGGACAGACACACAGAGGGAAGAUACCACCUGCAAACCAAGGCAGGGGGCCUGGAGCAGACCCUUCCCUUGUACCCUUCAAAAGGAAUCAACCCUGCCCAUGGCUGGACCGUGGGCUUCCAGACUCCAGAACUCCCCGCGUCCUGCUCCUGAGGCUCUGACCAGUGCCCCCCGCCCCCACCCAGAGGCUUCACCUCUACCUGGAACACAGCUCAGGAGAGAGAGGACCAUCUGAGAGCCCGGCCUGGCUCCCUGCACGCCUGCCCCCAUCCCCACCAGCCCACCUGCUGGGCCUGGCCAUGUGCGUCUCUGCAGCGGCCCUUGCAGAGCCUGGGAUACCCAGUAGGAGGUAUGGUUCUUGAACAGACCCCGGGUGUGCCGCUGCCCGGCCAGGGGCCUCUGCCUGCUGUACUAGAAGCUCCAGCCGGGCGGUCCUCUGGGGGAGGAGAGCAGCGUUAUCCCAGGCAGCCCCCAUGCAGCACAAAGCCUCCGGGUCACCCCACCGUCCCUCCGCCAUAGCCAGAGGGGACAGGGCAGGUAGAGACCACCCCUUCGGCCCUCCCGGCCCGCGGGGGGGCAGCCAACGAGGGCACCACGCCUGCUCUGGCGUCUUGAGCUCAUGGAGUUUGGAGGCUGCCCCCUCCGGCUCCAGCUGGCCUGCCAGGCUUACGGGACGAGGCUUCACGCAGCGCCCUCCCCAGUCAGCCUGGUCCUCUGCAGCUCGCGCCGGAGGCGGUGACAGGGCCAGGGAUGUGGGCACCCGGAAGGACCUUGGACUGGAGGUUAGGACAUCAGCAUGAAGACAAUUCCCGGAGGCAGUAGGAGGAGGAACUGGGGGAGGGGCUUUUCUGGGAGCACCCAGCGACGGAGCACCGAGGACGCCACGGCUGAUGGGCCGGCUUGUGGGCCCAGCCCUGCCCGUUCCACUCGGCGCCCAGGCUCAAGCAGCACCUCCAGCCUCCGGCGGCCCCCUCGCACACUCCCUGUGAGCGCUCGCACACCGAGCUCUGGGCAGCCCCCAGCCCUUGCCCCGGGCCCUGGGCCGUACCUGUGGGCGCUGCACCGACCCUUGGGCCCUCAGGCCCCAGCUGUCCGGGAGCUGCUUGAGGAGGGGCAGCUGCGCCGGGCAGGCUCCACACAGCCAGGUCGAGCGGCUCCAGGAGCCCCCACCUGGGGACAAGACGGUGGUCGGCAUGGCCUUCCUGUGUUUGCACUGUCCCCGCCCCUACGGCCUCGCUUGGCCUCUGCCCGCUGCGCCGGGCCAUCCCACGGGGCCUGGCGCUGCCCUGGGCUCCCUCCUCUUGCAGCCUCAGCUCACCCGGCAGUGCCCCCUUUGCCCUCCCCACAGGUGCCAGUGCAGCUGCCAGGCCUGGGGGCUUGGGGCACAGGCUGGCCUUCCUCCUAGCCCUCCUGACACUGCCCCUCCCCAGGGGGCCUCCGAGCCUGAGCUGCCGGCACUCCCUGCCACCUGGGGGAGGGUGUGCCGACCAUCACCAGGAGCUGGUGGCUCGGCCUGGGCUGAGUGGCCCCCACCUGGCCCUGCCCCCCACGCCCUGUAUCUCCUGCCCCCCUGAAGCUGGGCGGCAGCCACCAUGGUGUUGGGGGUCAGGGCUCCCUGCAAGGUCCGCAGCCCCUCCACACCAUCCAGCCAGCUGCUAGGUUGUCCAGGGUCCCCGGGGGCACCUGCGAGCAGGACACAUUUUGGCCCCACUGGGGGAGCCCCAACAUGACCCCCCCCCAACGCUAAGACUGGCCGCCCUCCCGGUCGGCAGGACCCCACCUUCAUGGCCUCCGUCGCUACUGUCUCCAUGACCUUGUCACUCUGUCACCAUCACGGCUCAGGGACAUCCCUGGUGGGAGCAGCCCCUUGGGCCCCCUGGACAGGCCAGGACGUGGCUCCUCCCCUCCACCGGGUAGCCCAGCCUGGAGACCGGUGUCCCCUGGUGGACGGGGCCUGGGGCAGCCUACGGCACGAGGGACUGGCAGUGGGGUUGGGGGGAACCACGUGGCCUGCCCAGCACCCCUAUACCUCUGUGCCUAAGGCUGGGCUCACGCUGUGGGCUUGCGGUCUGGGCAUCCCCGCUGCCGGUCGCGGCCCAAGCAGACCCAGGCUGCGGCCCCUGCCCUUAGCGGCCUGCGUUGGAGGCCCUGGAACUUCGGCCACAUUUGUCCACGUGGACCUGCUGACCUUCUCGGCACAGCUCCACCAGGCCUUGGAGCCAGGCCCAGCCCUCCCUGCUGAGCCGCGUCUCCCUGUUGCCCAGAAAACAGCCUCAGGGCCUCAGCCGUGAGGGUGGGGGACAAGCGGCAGAAAGGGGAUGCAGGGCUGGAGCCUCUGACCCCAGCUCGGUUCCCUGUGUGGUGGCAGGGGUGGAGGGCUCUCACCCCCAACCAGGCCCCAUCCAGCCCACCUGCACAGCUGUGGGGCUGAGCAGGAGCCACUGCCGACGGAUACCAAGCCUGCCUUGUGUGUGACCUGGAGGUGGGGGGGGCGGCGGAAGUGUGGGCAAGGCCCACACUUCGGGGAAACCGCCUCCUCCGCGGCCAUGGAGACCCCUCCUGAGCCCGAUCCUGGGCCCUCGCCGACCUCUCCCUCCUCCUCUAGCUGCCCCACCCUGGGGCCUGGUCACCCCCCACCCGAGACUUCCCGACACUCCUGGACUGGCUCUUGCUUCCGGGAACCCCACACCUUGGCCACACCCUCCCCCAUCCAGUUCGGGGGAAACCAGCCCCUCCAACCUGGAAGUCCUUUCUCCCAGGCCUGUUGCAACAGGGGCGAAUCCCCCCCAGAGGGGACGCUCCCAGGUCCUUGCCAGCCCAUGGUUUUCCAAUGUGCUUUUCGGUCCGGCGGUCAGGUGGGCCACCCCAUGGGCCAUUCACUCAUUCGAGUGUCGAUUCCUCCAUCCGAUGGCCGCUCCCCAAGCGUAGACACUGUGUCCAGCAGACAAGCCAGGGAAGCUUCGUGUCCACCACCGUGCUGGCCCCCUGCCCUCCCAGGAGCAUGUCUUGCUGGGGAGGGGUGCCCGCGAAGGAGGGGAACCCCAGCCUUUGGGGGAGCUGGGGGCAUCGAUGGGCCCUCUCAGCGGCCUGGCCCUCCCCCCACCCCCCCACCCGACCUCGCGUCGGUAAGCCCUCAGGCCUGCCCUUGCCCGGGUACACCCUCUUCGUGGAAUCUGUGCUGCCGCUACCCUGGGAACUUUCCAUCGGAAAAUGUUGGGUGGGGUGGGCGGGCGGACAGGCCGGGGCAGGCCGCAGACGCACUGUGGGUGGAGGGGCUCGCCCGUCCCACACCACAGCAUGGCCUCCCUGCCCUUCACAUUCUGAUCUCAUCCUCUACCCUCAGGCCCGGACAGUGCCUGCUGUGUGGCACCCCCCAUACCCCCCCAGCGGCCAGGCUGUCCUCUCAGCGCCCAGGGAGUUUCCAGGCCGGUUGCCCCAUCUGGCCCCUGGGCCACUUCCCCUCCCUCCACUCCUUCUCAGACCUCCUGGGGGGCGGGGGGGGGGGGCUCUGGGUCCUCACACCCUGUUCACGCAUCUGCCUCCUGCCCAAGAGAGGGUGCCUCCGCAGAGCUAGCCAAAGGCUCAUGGCUGAGGAUGGGGAGGCCGGGGGCCCGGAAAGGCCUUGGAGCCGACUCAGGGCAGCCUCUGGCCCUUCCCAGGGGCACUUGGGGCCAGGGUCUGGGGCUGAGCCCGGCUCCUCCUGGGCAGGGACAGUAACAGCCACCCAGUGGGACUCCGAGAUGGCCUCACCCCCCUGGUGGCAGCCUGGGCUGGCCAGGUGGCCUUCCUCCCACACAGAGUCCAGCCCUGACCUCCAGGCUGCGUCACAUCCCAGUCUGCCGACACGGCAGAAAUUCGUAGCAAACCACGGCUGUGGGCACCGUCAUUCUCAGGACCUGUCCUCAAGGCUGCCACUGGGUUCUGGCACAGGCUACGUCCUCUUCCAAGAUGUCCCUUCUCCUUGCGCAUUUGAGCUGGUGCUCCCCGGGCACCCCUUCCUGAGGCCCCACCUGCCCUAGUGCCCCCGCCCCACCCGGGCCAAAGACAGGACCAGUCCUGCCAGUGCUGGCUUCUACCCCUCCAGCCACAGGCACCAGGGCACAGGUGGUGGCGGGCUGAGCCAGAGGGUAAAUGCCAACGGAGCCAGACCGGGGCCUUCUGGAAGGAACGCAGUCAGCAUGAAGUCUGCAGACACAGCCCAGACUGGCCCCUCUGAGCCCCACAGCAACGACUCCCCGGCCUUUGUCGGGGUGACUCUAACUGGUGAACACGCUGUACACGCUGGGGCACGUCUGACGGGGGCAGUGAGCCCGGUGGGGCCGCGGUAGUCGGAGCCCAUGUGGAGGAGCUGCCGUCAACAGGGCCUGAUGUGGCCCAGAGUCCGGAGCAUCUCCCAGGUUUGGGGGGGGCCAGCAAGUCUGCUGGGGUGAGGAGGCUGAGAUGGCCCGGGGGGGUCAGGAGGGAAGGAGGGAGCCCUCGGGAGGGGCCUCAGCUGCGGCUGGGAGACCAGGCCUUGCGGGGGGGAGGGGGGGGCAGCAGCUCGAAGGCCUGAGGUUCCGCCUCCCAUCCCCACGGGGCUCCAGGUGCCAGGAGGAAGGGGCUGCCAUGGGACGGGGUUGUCUCCCAGGGGAGCCCAACAGGGCACAGCCCCUCUUAUCUCCUCCUUGAUUGGCAGCAGGUGUGUGUUAAAAUAAGAAGGGGAGAAGACGUGACAAGAGUCACCCUUUGUGUCACCGGUGCGUGUGUCUCUGUGAGAGAAGAGCCCAGAGUCUGGGGGAACCUGAGACCCAGGGGCCCGCACCCCUGUCCCAGCUGCCCCCCCCCCCCCCACUGAGCUGGAGGAGAAGGUGGCAGGCCCAGGCAGAGGCCCCCGCGGUCCCCUGGAGGGACGGACACACCCUAGGCUUUUGUCAGUCACCAAAAGCCCAACUCCAACUGCCUACAGAAGGGAGCACGUCUUUCCUGAGCUGGCCGGGCCAGGCCGAGGAGCAAACACACACGUUCUCCGUCCAUUCCAGGCUGCUUGACGCCCACCUGCCUUCCUCCUUCCAAGCACAUUGAAAGGCACACUGCCCAAAAGUCACAGCAUGUCGUGCUCAAGCAACCCCCCCCGCCCCCCGCCGCAAAGCGGCCAUGUGGCGUUCCAGCCGCUCACACGACCCUGCUCCCAAAGCCAUGCUCCCCGCCAUCGAGUGGCCUGCUCCUCCUGUCUGGCGAGCGGUGGACCGGAGCCGGGCAGGCAGCACUGAAGUCUCGGCACGGGGCGGGGGCCACGGCACAGCCUACAUCCUGUCUGACAGAAGCAGCCAGGACUCGUGUGCCCGGGACAGCCGGUGCCUCACGGGGACCGUCGCCUUGACCUGACACCGUGAGCCGAAGAUGCCCCUUCUGGUGGCCGCUCGCAAGCCGACAACUCCAGCACGUGGCUCGCCCGGUAGGGCCACCACCAGCCGGAACUUUUUCCGGCCGUCCAGGCAGCCCACCGCCUCGGCCCAACCUCGGACGACUUGAAAGAGACACAGGGGCGGGAGGCACAGUCACUUGCCUGGGCCUGGGCCGAGUUUAUCACACCUUUCCUGAGCAGGGGAGGCCUCUGAGUCCCCCGCCCGACUCCAUCUGGGGCCACGACUAGCAAAGCCCGUUCCUUCAGGCUGCAGGUGACAGAAUCUCUCAGAAGGCAGUUCGGGCAGAAAAGGAGGUUGGCAGCUCCCGUGCAUGAGACGCCAGGCAAGUGAGCCUUCAGGACCGGCUCGAUCCAGUCCACCGGAGAGGGCCACGCUGUUUCCUCCCGCUCUGGUGGCCAUCAUUUCUGCCGUUUGGCUGCCUUCUCAGGCUCUGUGAGGCACGGGUGAUGGCCCUCGGUGCACCUCGUCAUGACGGGAAGAAAGGAACCUACUUGCCUUGACCACAAAUUCUAGAAACGGUCACACUGACUGCCACUGGGACCCCUGCUGUUCGGGGCUGAAUUGUGUCUCCAAGAAAGAUGUGGAAAUCCUAACCCGGCACCUGUCAAUCUGACCUUACUUGGAAGUGGGGUUUUUGCAGGGACGUGACCAAGUUAAGAUGAGGUCAUUAGGGUCCCUAAUCCCGUGUGACUGGUGCCCCACAAGAGAACAUGUGAACACGACACGUGAAGGCAGAGACACAGGCAGGGAGGAUGCAGUGUGGUGACAGACGCGGAGGUGAAGCGAUGCGUCCCUGGGCCAAGGGUUGGCGGCAAGGCGCCAGCACCCGGAGACGCGGGCAGAGCCCAGCACACAGGCCGCAGCUCCUGCGUUUUGGUCUUCGGCCUCCAGAACCGGGAGGGGACAUGUUCUAAUCCCAAGGCUCCCGGUUUGUGGCCCUCCGUCACGGCCGCCCCGGGAGACGGACACACGUGCGCACCUGAGACGCGAUCAUGGUGGCCCAGCCUCUGUGCCACGCUGGAGCUGGGAUGAGGUCAUGCAGCCCGAAGGCGGAGAGGGUGCGGCUCCGGGAGAAAAACCCGAGGUGUGCUGACCAGGGAGGGCGGGGAGGGUGCCGCCGGGGCUGGGGCACACGGCCGAGACUUGGGCCUCGUUGGGCGGGCCUGGGGCUGCAGGUGGGCCGUGACCUCCAGGGCUGGCCGCUGGGCAGGGGUGACCCCAUCUCAGCCGAGGCCAAAAGAGGGCCACUGUGAUGGCGGCUCAGACGCAGGAUCCCUUCCCGGGCUCCUGCCCGCCUUAGACCGCGUCCCGGAGAAAGCGGGAGCUGGCAGCUGAGCCCGAGGCUGGGGGGGCGCAGGGUUGGGGCGGGCGGGGGAGGGGGGACACAGGAAGAUGUGAGAGGAGUAGCGGCCGCAGACUCCACACUUGUGCUCUGAGGCUCUACUGGCUGGAGGAGGCUUCAUGCGGCUCCAGAGAGCAGAGGGCAGCACGAGGAAGACGCUCUGAGCCCCUGACCCGCGGCCGAGAAAAUCCGUCAGCAAGGGAGCCGAUGCGCCUCCUCGUUGCCCUGAACCAGGCCUUCGUGGGCCAGCAGGGCUCGGCCCCGCCCCCCACGUGCUCACGGCCUUCGCACACGCCAUUCCCUGUUUUCCGUUGUCCGUCCAUCUCCACCUUCUGGAUUGGGAGGUGUCUGAACAGAGCUUCCGCGCUAUCACCUGGUCCAGAGGACCAGCAUGGAGCUCCGUGGUCCCAGACCAUGGGGGACCUGUGGGCCUCGCUGGGACCGAGGGCGGGAGCGCACUGCCCCGAGGCAGGGUGUAAUGUGCAUUCCGACCCAUCCCAGUGGACGCAGACCACCCGGGCUUCUCUUUCUCCAAGCGUUCCAGGGCUCAGAGGGAGACUCGCCCACGCAGGAUUCUGCAGGAGACGACCUCGAACCAAGGAGCCACCUGAUGGCAAAGGAGGCGACGCAGCGGGCGGGAGACGUGGGACCCUGUCGUCCUCCACACGGACACGGCCCCAGGGCGGUUGGAACCGCCUCUAGAAUCAGCUGGUGAGGCCGCGUGCUGUUCUCCGAGGCAGCUGUAGGUCUCGAACCCAUAACCACGCUGCGUACAGGCGGGCUGUGUGCGUCUGGGCGUGACGGGGUGGAUGCAGGCAUGGCCCACUCGUCACCACUCCCGUGGCCCCUGGGAGCCGUGACUCUGUGCCUCCCAUCCUGCCCUGCAGGUCCAGAGGUGCUGGUUCAGGGGGGUUUGCUUCCUCUGGGGGGACAGCGGGGUCACACUGCUCCUAAACCGCCACCUGGUUCCUUUGGGCUCCGCGUGCCAGUAGGCCAGCAGGCGGAGAAAGGAGCUACCAUUCUGUAGAGGGUGGGUGGCUGCUGCUGGCCGGGGCCGGGGAGUGUGUCCUGGGUCCGGAGCACGGAGGGGCCCCCUGCGACGCUACUGGUGACACGGGCUGGUCUUACCUACACGUGGCAAGUUCCGCCACCUUGACUCGGCGCGGGGCCAGCGAGGGAACAGGAAGACGGGCCUCUAGGGCGGAGGGGCGGAGAGUCAGCUGUGGCUUUGGGACCAAAUGUGGCGCAGGUGCGCCAGCUCACCCGCCCGGCGGUUCUGGGGAGGAACCUUCCCUCCCUGUGGCAGCAUCUGGCUGAAGUCUGUUUCCCUUGCUUCAAAAGCUCCAACAGAGGGACCCCUGGUUCAAUCAAUCGGCGGAGCGUCUGACUGUUGAUUUCGGCUCAGGUCAUGAUCCCAGGGUUAUGGGAUCGAGCCCUGUGUUGGACUCUGUGCCGAGCGUGGAGCCUACUUGGGAUUCUCUCUCUCUCCCCCCCCCACCCCGCCCUCUCUCUUAAAACAAACAAAUGCUCCAUAAGAAACCGGUGCAAGUCCCCGUGACUUAUCAUGGCACCAGGCACACAGCAGGGGCACAAUUAAUGUUGAGUUCAUCAGUGAAUCCAAUUGGGUGUGGAGGCACCUGGGUUCCCGCCGGGGUACUGGGCAGGCACGUGUCUAGGAUCACGGCCUGUGCUUUGCCCCCUCAGCGCCUGUCCCUGCCCACAGCUCUCCCCGCGGUGGACGAGCUCCUGUCUCCCGGCCUGGACUCCACCAUCGGCCCACGUCGUUCGGGCUUGGGCUGUCAGCCACACUCUCAGACCCUGGAUGUGGAGUACGUGGUUCAAGUUGAGCAGAUACACCAGGCUGCUGGUGGCUGCGGCUACCGUGGUGGGUCCGUGGAGAUCACUGCCUCCGACGUCUUUGGGCCACAUCUGGUCCCCUUCUUCCUAGGGCCCCCCGUUAUCUUUCCAAUGCAGAGUCCCAGAUUGCUUCCAGAGGGAACACAGCAGACAGCGAGCUGUCCUAAACAGAGUGGUCUUGGGGCUGACAUGGGGUGCAGGGCAGUGGGGGCCCCUCACUCUCUGGGGGGAGACGUCACCUGCCUCCCAGGACCCAGGACAAGCUGGCUGGCUGGGUCGACUGAGUGCUGGGGCUCCAGGUGAUGGUGAACCACACUCAUCUCCUAACUUGGAAGCUGGUUAAGAAAUAAGACACCGGCACAGAGAGGCAGAGAUAGAAAGGUCCGUUGCCGGCCACUGAAUUGAGGCCACAGCUCCCAUCGGCACAUUUUGCUGCCCUGAGCCCCUUCCCCAGCUGGAGGUGGCAUAGCAUCCCGGUGCCGCCCUCUCCCCAGCUGCGCUGGAAGGGAGGACAGUGUGUGUCCCGCGGACUGGUCUCCCUCACCUCCCCCCCCCCGGGAUGCCCCCUCUUCCCCAAGGUGGGAGCCCCCCUCUCAGAGGGUUGAGUGAAGUCCGCGGUGGAGUUCAGAGGCUGUGGGCUGGAGCUGUCUCUACAGCCCUGGACAGACGUCGCCCCUCCCUGGCUGGAGGCAUGGACUCAGGCUGAGAAAGUCACUAGACCCUGUGGGCGGAUGAUCACAACAUUGACAAACGUCCCCAGGGGAGGCCAGCCCUUCCCUGAGGCUCUUUCGCCCUAAGCAGCCUGUCAACACUGCUGAUGAGCACCCCCUGAGCGAGGAAGGUUCUUCCGAAGCCAGGUGCCCGUAUGCCGUCCCCAACGUCCCUGGGACCUCACCCUGAGCGCUCAGAGCCGCAUCAGACCCGGGAGGCUGAGGCAGCACCCACACCCACGUGACUUUUGGAAUGAACUUGAGCAGCACUGUGGAUCGCUCGGGGGAUGGGCUGGGGCGCCUGGCCACGCUUGGGUGUGAGUGGGUCCUGCACUGGGCGUGCUCCCACCCCGCCAAGGUGGUCCCUGCCUCCUAGGCACCCUGCUGGGACUCUACAAGCUGCUGGCUCUGGGACCCAGGCCCCUGCGUGGGGGGCGUCCCCUCCCUGAGGCUGUCAGACGGGGGCUGCUUGCUCUGGGGUCUGUGCUGUGCCGGCCUCAUUUGUGGUCCCUGCCAGGCUCAGAUGGGCCUCUCCCAGUGGCCACAGUCUUGCAGGGCCUCCGUCCCGGCCAUCAUCACCUAUGACAUGCAGAUGGGACACCUGUUCCCAGCUUCCCGGGCCACGCGGCUCCUCCCUACCAGGACUCAGGAGCAGCCUUGGUCCGGUCCUCAGA